rnacentral:rRNA from 1 species
UACGGAGGAUCCAAGCGUUAUCCGGAUUUAUUGGGUUUAAAGGGUGCGCAGGCGGAAGAUUAAGUCGGCGGUGAAAUUUUGCAGCUCAACUGUAAAAGUGCCAUCGAUACUGGUUUUCCUGAGUGUGGAUGAAGUAGGCGGAAUUUGUGGUGUAGCGGUGAAAUGCAUAGAUAUCACGAGGAACUCCGAUUGCGCAGGCAGCUUACUAGGCCAUAACUGACGCUCAGGCACGAAGGCGUGGGGAUCAAACAGGAUUAGA